rnacentral:rRNA from 1 species
UGCCAGACUCCUACGGGAGGCAGCAGUGGGGGAUAUUGCACAAUGGGGGAAACCCUGAUGCAGCGACGCCGCGUGAGUGAAGAAGUAUUUCGGUAUGUAAAGCUCUCUCAGCAGGGACGAAAAUGACGGUACCUGAGUAAGAAGCCCCGGCUAACUACGUGCCAGCAGCCGCGGUAAUACGUAGGGGGCAAGCGUUAUCCGGGUUUACUGGGUGUAAAGGGAGCGUAGACGGUUAUGCAAGUCUGGAGUGAAAGGCGGGGGCGCAACCCCCGGAACUGCUUUGGAAACUGUGCAGCUAGAGUGCAGGAGAGGUAAGUGGAAUUCCUAGUGUAGCGGUGAAAUGCGUAGAUAUUAGGAGGAACACCAGUGGCGAAGGCGGCUUACUGGACUGUAACUGACGUUGAGGCUCGAAAGCGUGGGGAGCAAACAGGAUUAGAUACCCUAGUA